CCGGAGCGGGGGCGCGGACCCAAGACCACCUGGAGCUCCGCCCGGGCAGCGCGGGGUCACGGCGGGAAUUUUCGGGUCGCCGAGUGACUCAGCCCCGCAGGCUCGAAACUGCGGGCGCAUGAGGGCGCACCCGGACGCUCUACCGCUCCCGCCGCAGUCGCCGGGCCAUGGGCCUCGAGCCCGCCCCGAACCCCCGCGAGCCCGCCUUGUCUGCGGCGUGACUGGAGGCCCAGUCUGGAGACGCCUGGAGGCCCGGCCAUCCAUCCCUUCCCCAACCGCUGUCUUUGUCCCGGAGACCGCCAGUGUCCUCCGUCCCACCCGGAACAGCCUAUUGCCCCGCCCGCUUGGGAAGCAC
rnacentral:lncRNA from 1 species